GGUCUCACCAGGAACUGCAGCCGCUGCCGCUCCGACUCGGGAGUGAACUCUGUGGACAUGGGGAUGACCUCUCCCGCCCGGAUAAUGACGGCCCUGAGAGGAGAGAGCAGACGCACUGGGAUGACCUUGUUGAUGGUGCGGUGGAGGCCACGCUUUUGUUGGAUUCAAGUACUACUUUACAUCAGCGUCGAGCUUUGUUUUAACUGCUGACUCACCAUCUCAGCUUCACAGCAGCACAGCUGGAACCUAUCUGGUAAUCAAGCUUCACUGAUUUUAACGCCUCGGUUUCAGACUGUGUUGCCACAUGGUUACUUCACCUCCACCGGUUUUUUACCGCCUCUGCGUGUUUUCCUCGCUCGACGUUUUGGUUGUGACGUCCUUGGUUUUGUUUCCUGUAUGUGUCCUGUUUUUCUGUGUAUUUAUAUGAAACCUUCUGUUAAACAUAUCCUCGUGGUGUGGAGCACCAGGAGCGAUUUUAGUGUUUGUGUCUGUUCCCCUGAGCCGCCAUGACACUUUCUUGACUUCUUUGUCUGGGCUGGAUGGUUUGGGGUUAUUCUGAGGUUGGCGCCUUCACGCGACCAGUCGACCCCUGUGGCAUCAGCCUCUGUGGCUGCGGUGGGAGCAGCACAAAUGCAUGUGAUGGGUCAUGUGACCGCGGAUCAUGUGCCUUGUCUUCUGUUAACACAAGCUGUGAUUAAAUCUUCAGACAGACUUUGUUGGCUUGUUGGUGCGAUGAAACCGCUUUUGAUUUAAAAAGAUGAAAUCACUUUAUUGACUGGAUGGCACGUCAGCUAUGUUAGCAGUCACAGAAAUCAGUGAUGAGCUACGUGGUCCUUGUUAGCACCAUUGUCUGGAGCCCUGGAGAUUUGCAGUCUGACUGUGCCGUCAGCCAAUCGGGUGGUUGCUCUCCUGGCAAUAUGGAAGUUAAUCUCUGAGGAAUGUUUCCUUCUCGAAUCGAGGCUAUUACGGGACCAAAUCUAAGCUCCCAGGGUCUGAUGUUAACGCAGAGGUGGUUCUAUCUGAACCCAUCUUCCGUCGAGGGGAAGUCAGAAUGAGCAUGAUGCCGUCAGAUGAUGGUGCUCACUGGACCCGACAGAACCAACCAUCCACCCACAGAUCAGCAUCAAACUCUCCUCUCAGGAAAUCACCCUUCCCAUCUGAGCGACCUACUUGUUGACGCGUGGGAUUAUGAAGGAGGGAAAAAAAAGGAGUUCAGUGACUGAGUGACUAAUCCAGAGUCUUCCACUCUGUGUUUCGCUGACACGCUGUCGUUAAUCAUCCGUCAACAUUCUCCGUCAGAAAUGAUGAUUUUCAGUUGAAUUGGCUUUGCAGAUUUAGGUGAAGAAAUAAGGCCCUCGCUGCAGGCAGCAGGGCGUCGCAGGGCGGGACCCACUCCAGCUUGAGUGAACCCAUGUCCUUCUUCUGCAGGCUUUGCUUGUCCUCUUCAUGCUAGCAUGGGUUUCCUCUGGCACUCUGGUUUCCUCCCACACUUCAAACAAUUGAUGACUCACAGGUGUGAGUAGAUAUCUCUCAAUACAAUACAAUGUCUUGUCCAUAGUCCUGUCCAGGGCGUCCCUCUCCCCUGACCACAUGGAGCUACAACCCCAUAAUAAUAUUUUAUAUCCAGUAAAUAAUACAGAUUACUGGCUUUAUUUAAAUAAGUGUUAAUUUUUUUUUUUUUUUUUAAAGCACAAUUUUGAAAAUACGGCAAGAAGAAAAUAAUAUAUAUUUGCAGUAUAUGAGGAGAAAGGAAAUGCUCCAAAAUUUGUUUUUUUGAAGUACAUUUACAAAAAUAAAAGGGAAACAAAUGCUUCAGGAGUCCAUAAAUUACCCAUAACAAAUACGAUACCAGAAGAGUAAAUAAACAUGGGAAAAAAUAUUAGGGAUGAAUAACGGAUAAGUAUUAUGUGGGUAAAAUUAAUACCAAAAAAUGUAAUAUUCUAAAUCUUUAAUACAUAUUGUACAUGAGAAGAAAAAAAUCAAAAUAGAGAAGGAUGAAGAGCAGAAAUUAAACUAGAAAUAAUAUUCAUAAUUUUGAGAAUCAGAAUGCUGCAUCUGGGACCUGACCUUCAAUAAGCAGAAGAACAUGGACGGUGGAGGACAGCGCUCUAAUCGUACUAUGAUCAAAAUAUAAGGAAGAAAGCUUAUGCCAAAAUAUGCAUACAAGACUAUUAUGAAGCUAUCAACAGGUACUGACCACUGCAGAAAGCACAAGCACUUCAUGAACACAGGACUCAAAGGUCAUGGGGUCACAUAUCACCGGCCUGUAAAGGCCAGAGCAGAUCUAACAUCCUCCUAAAGCAUUUGGUCAAAAUGAGAAAAUUGGAAAUGACAUGACCGAGAGAGGGUCAAAAGAGCAAAGUGAAGCUGGGCUCUAAUCCUGCUCUGAUGGUGCGCGACCUUGCUGACCUGCCUGAGUGGAUCUAUAUGGCCCUCAUCAUCAGGGACGCAGGCUUUCUUCCUCCAGCCAUGAGAUUUCACUCCGCGCGCUGGACGGCCAGCUGCUGCCCAAUCCAGGGAGUGGCUCAGUCAGCGCUGGUGCACUGCUGGUGCAGGAGACACCCAAUCUGACGGCCGGCACCCAGACAAUGAUCUGACAUCGGUUCACAGCUCUGCAGGCUCCGUGUAUCAGUGGGGGAUGGUGGAGGCAAAUUACCAUACUGCACGGAGAUUAAGAAUUAUUCACAGCAGAUUAGCAGUUUGCAUCACUCUGACGUCAGUUAUACUGAGAGACACAAUGUGAAGGAGCCACAUAAUGAACCUCCGUCACCAACAUUGUAACUGGAUUAUUUCUACGCAGACCAAGCGAAUACAUUAUGACAUUAGGAUGCAAUAGCACAUUGGUCCCAAUGUUUCCUGCAACUCAGCUAAAUAUUCACAUAACAUAAUGGUUGCGCAGAGGACAGUCGUGUUCAAUCGUACCAGUAGAACGUAAGAAACAUAACUACAUGACAUACAUAAGUAACUGCCAACGUCAUCAAACUAAGGGCUACACUCCAGAAACACAGUAUUUAGUGUUUAUAAGCCAUUUAUUUGUGGAUUUAUGAAGCGUUUCCUGCAGCACUGCAUAUUUAAGACUUGAGCAACUUGGAACCACAACAACGUGAACUGCUGAGAUUCUUGCGUUCAAAGUACCGUAAAUUCCGGACUACAGAGCCAACGGAAUAUUAGCCCCACCCACUAAAUUUAAGAAGGAAAAUAGAUCUUGUUCAUACAGAAGUCGCAGGGGUCUACAGGCCGCAGGUGCAGUGGUGCUGUCUGCAUCGUAGAAAGGUCAGUGGUGCACCAGGCUUAAAAAUGCAAGAGGACCACUUCUAAGCUCGUAUGGAAAAUGGGCUCCAGCAUGAAGACUGACUCAUGAAACAAACUGGGCAAUGUUCUGCACUUGAAUCAUCAACUCCCCACAUCUUUUAUUGACAUUAAAGCGCUUAUAAUGUGCUGUUUUCACCCAUGUGUCCCAUGUUCCGACACCACAGUUGGUCUCAGCUGCUGCUUCUCGUCUCCGCUCCUCCAGGAGAUCGGCUCUGCGGGUGGAGCUGCGGACACGCGCGCAAAAACAGCGCAUUUAAGCGCUUCAAGGUUAGUAACACGCCAGCGAUUUCAUGGGUUUGAUGUGACGAGGAUCAAUAUUUUCGCAGCAUGAUGCUCUUUAGCCUGUAAAAAUCCAUAUAUUAGUAUUGUAUAGGCUACGGGGUUCAAAAAAGUAGUGACUUAUAGUCCGGAAAUUAGGGUAGAAUUAAAAAUCAUGAACUAUGGUCCUCCACACUCUGCUUUGGUAUCAGUGAUUCACUUCCACAAAGUGAUCAGAUCAGUUAAUAGAAAACAUCACCUUACUGUAUCUCACAGUUUACACUUAAGUUUACUUCGGGGCUCUAAAAAUCAAUAUGGUCUUCAUAAACAAAAUAUAUGACAAUCUGUUAUAAGGAAAAGAAAAUAUGAGAACCUUUUCUUCUCUCUGCUCCUUUCUGAUCCCUAAAAUUACGAUGAGAUGAAAGAGUUUGUUUGAUGUGGGAUUGAACUUCUACUACUAUUACUAAUAUGCAACAAUCAAGGAGAUUACUGCAUCAAUGCGGUGCAAAAAAUCUACUUGACAAUAUGUCCAAAAAUUGCCAUUGGAAAUAGCAACACAAACAUCUUUGCAAACCACACAAUGCUGUUGCCACUUAUUUUUUCUACGGCAGAUUAUCUGGUGGAAGCGGCAGAGUAGAAUCCAUUAUUCGGGUGUGAGCCUUGAUGAGUAGAACACACCGUCACUUCUCGGAAUUCCUUCCAUUCCUAGCGCUCGAUUAUCAUUUGAACCAAAGUAAGGACACGAGAUGAUCUCUCAGUGCCUGCACUGAUGGACUCUCACGUGCUCUCGUGACUCUUAUCAUCUCUUUAGUGAAUUUCCAUGCACAUUAGAAGGGCCUUCCUCCAGGCUCAUGUGCGACUUGCUGGAUUCCAUCGCAGCCCAUUUUAGCUUGCAUUUUCCACAUGAAUCCAACAGCCAAGAACGCACGUCGGUCUGCUACGUUGGUGAGAGCCAGGCCCUUUUCUCUGGAGGUCAACGGUCAGUCCUUGAUGCGAUCCUCGCUGUGCAGACCAUGACACGAGGAUUAGAGGGAUAAAUUGUGAAAGUCAGAGAGAUGGGUUAGUGUGUCGCUGCUCACUCUUGGAGCAAAGUCUUAUCUGUGCUGAGAAGAUAUUGGGAAUAGCUCUUAUUAAAGCAUCCUCCAAAGGUCUGAGGAGCACUUACAAAGAGGACAUUUAAGACAGUUAAUCAUAUCACAAUAUCUAAUGUUCAUGUGAUUAAACCGGUGACUCAUUUACUUUAAAGUCGACGGUUGAAUAUAAAAGAGGAAAUUGAAUUUUCUUUUUAAGUAGAUGAAUUAGCUAAUGCAUUUGAGGUGACUUUGUGGCGUCAUUGCAGGAGCUUCAGCUUCCAGGUCCCGUCCACCGUGAUGCCACUGUCUGGAUAGGUCGAUACGUAGUUGCAUACAUAAGACAAAUGGUAUCUCUUCCAAGUUACAGACUUAUCUACCAUGCCUAACCCCCAGUUUUUAUAGUAAAUCUAGAUAAAUUAACCACCAACAAUGGGAUUAAUCGCAAGAAAACGAUUCGCACUGUCAAGUCAACAACAUCAAAUGACAGACAGACAGACUCCAUAUGUGUAGUGAUGGGAAGAUGUGGUAGCAACAAAAAAAAAACGUUGUUAGUCUGGAAUCUGACAACAAUUCUGAAUGCAAGACUUCUUUUUCAGUUUCAAAAUGCAACUUAGAUAGCAACAGAAGAUCAUUAUUAUUACUUAUGACUGUGUAAUAUUUUUGUCAAAUGAAUGCUAACAUGCUACAGUAUCUUAUCUACUCUUAAACAAUAGUGAUAAAUGUGAUAUUGUGUUGCAUCUCUUGUAUGUUGUGCUGAAGACACCCACUUCAAUACUCAUAACUUUGCAGUGUUGUCUGUGGUGACUCAAAGCUGUGUUAUCACUCACGCCAUGGCAAAGGAGGGACUUCAUUUUCAUUCACUUCUGUUUUCAUCCUCUGUUUCUAAUCUAUCUAUCUAUCUAUCUAUCUAUCUGUCUGUCUGUCUGUCUGUCUAUCUAUCUAUCUAUCUAUCUAUCUGACUGGAGUCACUGCACUUUCUUUAUUAUUAUUAUUAUUAUUAUUAGUAGUAGUAGUAGUAGUUGUAGUAGUGCCAGUACUAGUAGUAGGAGGAGGAGGAGGAGGAGGAGUUGUAGUAGUAGUAGUAGCGUUGUGUGUACAAUGUUCUUCUAUCGUAUUCAUUUCUAUUGUUUGUUUAUUUGUUUUACUCAGCAAUAUGUGGCGGCUUUAUGUAAAUUUACAUUUAUGUAAAUGUACAUGUCUAAUGUCUCGUGUUUGUCUCUGUUUUCUGCUGUGACAAGUCAAAUUUCCAUUAUAUUGGGGAGAAAAAAGGCUAUCUAACUGAUGCUAUUUGUCAAACUGUACCAGAGGUUUAGAUGGUACAGUUAGCUUCAACUAAAAUUCAACUUUAAGAACACCAUCAAUACAUUUUGAUACCAUCUGGACCCUUCAUCAGGCUGUUGGCAAGUGGACGUGUUAAGUCCAAAACUAUUGGAGACGCUCAAGAGGACUGCAUUUUUUAGGUUCAAGGACGUAACACACGCCGUAAGAUGGAGAUCAGAGAUGCUUAAACUCAUCCUCAUCUAGUCGGAUAUUGACAAGUGUUCAGACCGCAUUACCAAUUGUAGACUGCAAUAGAGUGAUCAAUACUCUGCUUUAGAAAGUCUGCAGAGUUGAGUGAAGCAACUGAUGCGUCAAUAAACUCAACCUCAUCCACGUUAGUAGUAGCAGCAACGCCAGAAUAAACUGCACUCUCUUCAGCGCCUCCAACAUGCUGCGCAUAACACGCAUAUCUACAUCCAUUUGAGUUGUGUUUCCCACACGGAAUAUGGACUCCUGGCUGACAGUGGAGCAGUUUCCAUGUCUGACUCUGAAAUAACAGACCCCGGCGAGUGUUGCGUUCGCGGUCCGGGAUGGAGGCUCCGCGUCAGGGAUGCUGAGGGUCGGAGAAGAUGGACGAACAGGUUACUCACUCAGCGUAUCCGGUGGCCCAGGGCAGCCGCUUGCUCUCCUUCAGGAUCAGGAUGGGUCUGGCGACGUGGUCCGCCGAGCACUCCACCUCGUCCGGUGACAGCCCCAGGAACUCCGGGCGGCUGUAGGGAAAUUUCAGCGGCGUCUCCGCGCCGCAGUGGUGGUGGUGGUGGUCCCCGUUGGAGCCCGCGGGUAUCACGCCACCCAUGAAACUGGCCACCGCCGACCUGACGCGGGUGAGCAUGGCGGAGCUGCGGCGGCGGAGCUCCGGGAGGGGAGGCGGGCUGCUGCGGACUCUCUGCCCGCGAGGAGACGCUGCUUCGCGGCGUGAACGAAACAAACACAGCAGCGACUCAUUCAGUCUGAGAACACGGAAAUAGGAGCCUCACUUCGCUCGCACACGCGCGCGCGGUCAUGUGACAAACCGGUUGCUGCCGGUGGGCUGGCUGGUGGCACGCGCGCGGCUGAACCGUUGCCAGGGGUCAAAGGCGACCUGUCUGCCUUUUUCACCGCCGUUAUCAACAUAUUUGUGAGAUUAAAAAAAAACACCAUUAACCCGUGAAGUCAGGGAUGAGGAUCAGCACCUCCUAAACACAGCAGGUUUGGCACAUGGUGAGUUGUUUCAAGCGAAAUAUUCCUCUUUAAUGACAUGGUUUCAGGUUUCAUGGUUUCAAGGGACAAGAUGGCGGAGAGUUUGGGACGGGAGUGUUUUGACUUCGCCACGACAUCAUCACUGUACGAAGUACGAUGAAGCCCACUACUGCUAUUCGCGCUGUACUUUCUCCUAUGCUUUAUUUUCAUAUUCCCGCUGUCUCCAUCACUGCUGUGACUGUGCCGCCAUCUUGUUCCGGACACGACUAGCAGGGUUCUAGCCAGGACCUUUCCCAACAUAAGAUUGGAGAGUGGGGGCAGCAAAGAGUCAAACGUUGACAACAGGGGACACAAAAGUAAACUGCAGCGUCCAUCCUUCACGGCCCCCCUUAAGGCCCUACCUUAAAAGGCGGAGUCUUACGCAACUGAAAUCCUAACACGGGGGGGCGCUGUGCUGCUAAAGCACUGGGGAGAACCCUGAAGAGUAUGUGCUGACAGAAAAAUCUCAUUUCACUGCUUCUGCGCAUCUUAACUUUCUGUCUCACUAUACUCCAAACUUCGAUAGAAACAAGCCCACAAAUAGUGCUCAGUGACAAAUAACAGGCGACCGCCACCUGCUGGUGUAAAGCAGUAACUAGAUCAGGCGCCAUAUUUGCAGCGUGGCUUGUUUAAAUGUAACCUUGGUGCCUACAGGGUUAGCAUGAUGACACUGGUCAACUGAACAACAUGUUGUUUAAAAAACAACUGAGCCAUCUUUUUUUUUUACUAAUUUUCAAUGUAUCCUAAUGUCCCAGUUAGUGCUAGCUAUUUCUUACUUUCAUCUUCUUCAAAUGGAAAACUAGCAUUGUACUGCUUGGUUGAUAGAAUCUCUAAAAUGCUAAUACACUGAUGCAAAUGCUAAUUAUGCUAAUAUGCAGCUGGUUGUGAGAAUCCCGCUUCAUGUCAUGUGAAACCUCCUGUGAGCUGUUGUUUGGUGUGUGUGUGUUUUAGCUCCAGUGAGGGUGAAGAAAACCCAGUGUUUACAACUUCACAGGAGCUGUCUUUGCUAGGAGGUGGUUUAUCAACUGUUAAUCCCACAGAGAUGUUUUAAUGCUAUUUGAAGCCUUCACACACUUCAUUGGGAAAAAUGUCCAGAGCAUGUUUUACUUUCAUCCUUAGUGGCAUUUCAGCCAUCUUGUUUUCACUGAAAUGUCUUGCUGACUCAUAAAGAAUUAAAAAAUACAGGUCUCACUCAGGUGGUGAAUCUGAGGCCAUGGUUCUCAGAGAACUUGUGGCCAAGCAUCCAAGCCUCAUGCUUGUCAACGCUCUAUUACAGCGUUAUGACGAAUGAAAUUGGAUUUUUAAUUUGUCCUUCUGAACUGCAUGGCUUCAAUUGUUUUGAUUCUAGUUUAAGGAUUCAUAAUAAUAAACUUAAUGAAAACUGCACUUCAUCAUUAUCCAGUGUUUAUAGAUAAAGAAUUGUGAUGACAAAAUCGCUGUUUUAUUUGGCACUUUUCAGGCAGUAAUUCACAAAGUGCUUUACAUUAGUAUUAAAAUCAACACAAAGAAUGAAAAAUGCAUUUUUAAAUGCAAAUUAAAAGAAGGCACCGACUCAGAUAGUCCAUGGGGGGGGGGUUGCUUGCAACUUACAGACUGUAAACAUUCUAUUCUUUAAGUCAAUAUUUACUUCAUGUUGUGUGUGACGCAUGCUGCUGCCAGUAGUUUCAGUGUUUACUUUCUGUAUGGGAAGCAUUUGGCCAGUCUGUUUUACAGUUUACUGUUUUCUGUUUACCUCAAGCUACCAGUGCCAUGAUGUCAAAACAUAACAUAAGCUUUAGAGUUCAUGGGUGAGUCAACUGCUGUGGCUUUUUGUGGCUUCUUAUAUUGUAUGUCCUUCGCAGACGUAUUAUAUUGGUCAUAGUUAGAACAGGGGUGGGCAAUGACGUUUCCUCAGGGACCUAAGGCAAUUUAUUUCAAAACAUAGUUUCAAUAUGCCUUCAAUGUAUUUUGAGGAACAAGAAAAACACACAAAAAUAAAAGAAAGUCCUAGUCUUAAAACAAAAACGUGCUAUAUUUACUGCUGAAGUGGUGGUGGUGACUAAAAACGAAAGAACAAAAAAGGAAGAAAAAUGACAACACAUCAUUUAUAGUUUCAGUGUGACGUAAAAAUGGCCACGAAAAUACAGGCAUCGGACCGCAUAUGGCCCCCGGGCCACGCUUUGCCCAGGUCUGGUCAAGACACAGAGUCGAGUGAGUGACUCGACAGCGCGGGAGUUGGAGAUGACCUCAUCAACUUAUCUGAAGGUGCGAGUGGUUGUCUGGUGACGUUCCUGUCCAGGGUGUCCUCUGGAUCAAAACAGAAGCCACAAAUGAAGAAAACCAUGAAACUGAAGGGAGAAGUGAAAUGAAUCAUUUCUCUUUGGACUCAAGGGGCACACAAGCGAAGGUUCUAUCUAUCUAUAUAUCUAUCUAUUAUUGAUGCGUAACAUUCGACUUGGUGGCCAUGUUGUUGCAGGAUAACCAAGUAAUCCGUCUCCUCGCGGCGACCUAAUUGUUCCCCUCUUCUCUGAAUAGGCUUCUCUCAUUAAACACAAUCUGGCAGGAAUAUACACAGGAAUCCCAAACUCUCAGACUGAUCUAUAAUUCAUGAGCGCAGCGCAGACGCUCCACUGACCCAAUUACAGGCAGCCGGCAGGAGAGCAGCACCUGUACUGUGGAUGGCGCCGCUGGUUCAGUCAAAUGUAGCCAGACAAACAGCAUCAGCUGAAGAGUCAGAGCCUCCUGCACCGCUCAACUGCUGUGAGAAGAUACGAUGAGAUCAUGAGAAAAAAGCACCGGAAUAAAAGUGGUGAUGUAGAGCAAAAUGUCAUGUAAUAAAGACAGUUAUAUAUUUUAGUGCUGUACACAUAAUAAACAUGACCUGUUGUGAAAGUCGAGCUGUAAAGUUAUAAAGCAAAGAUAAUGAAUUCAGGGUUAAAAUGAAUGAAACGAAUGGUCAAAAAGUCACAGCAAAAUUAAAUAAAGAUUUCAUAUUUAAAGAGUAGAAUAGCCUUUUUAAAUAAAAGUUGUGCAUUUUUCAAUAUUUGGCGUUUAAAGCAUUCAAUUAGAACCGUGUUAUUAAACCUAAAAAGAAGAUAGUUUAAUAAAAUGUCGAAUAAAAUAAAUUCGGUGUGUUCUGACUUGUAUCUAGCGAUUCAUCCGCUGACAUGUGGGACUAUAUUUAUAAUGAAUUAAAAAAAAUGUUAAAAAAGCAUUGCUUCAAUACUAGAUAUCGCCAGCAGAUGUCGACAUUGCAGCAGAAACGCCCGAGGAGCGCGACUCAUCCUGUGACGUCGCAAAGGUUUGAAAAUAAUGUACGCAGUAAAUACAUAUAGACGUAACUGAAAACGUUGAUGUUGAAGUAAAAGUACCACAGCAAAGCAAUGUAGAUGUGACUUGCGAAACACAAACAGAGGAAUACAAGACUAAACAAGUCAAUUUUGCAGCUUCACUGCACGCAGGUCUCCGGUUCAAAUCCAGUUUGGAGUGAACCUGUGGUCUUUAUGUCUUCAUUUGUCUCUAACAGUGUGCGAGAGUGGUUGCCUCUGAGGGUGACCUAUAGGGGUCCUCACCUCUCACCUCAAGUGGCUCAGCAGGUGUCAAGUGCGACCUUGUGAAGGAGACAAGUUGACAAAUGUGUCCAUUUGUGCCCUUUGACUCUUGAGCAAGGUGGUCAUAAUGUUGAGGUCAAGAGAUGAAGCAGCAGGAGUCGAUAGAAAGUGGCACAAUGGAGAACUGAUUGAGUGAGAACAAUGUUGAAGGACAAGAUUCCAGGGGCCGCCAGACUUGAUGAUGUUCCUCAGCACCAAAAUAAACCUGCUGACAGGCCCAGGCUGGAGCUGCAGCCCCGCCCCCAUUCUGUAGACACUGUGUACUGAUGCUAAUGUGUCUAAAGU